rnacentral:rRNA from 1 species
CUACGGGGCGCUGCAGUGGGGAAUAUUGCACAAUGGAGGAAACUCUGAUGCAGCAACGCCGCGUGGAGGAUGACACUUUUCGGAGCGUAAACUCCUUUUAUAUAGGAAGAAGAUGGCGGUACUAUAUGAAUAAGCGCCGGCUAACUCCGUGCCAGCAGCCGCGGUAAUACGGAGGGCGCAAGCGUUACUCGGAAUCACUGGGCGUAAAGAGCGUGUAGGCGGAUUAAAAAGUCAGAAGUGAAAUCCUAUAGCUUAACUAUAGAACUGCUUCUGAAACUCUUAAUCUAGAAUAUGGGAGAGGUAGAUGGAAUUUCUGGUGUAGGGGUAAAAUCCGUAGAGAUCAGAAGGAAUACCGAUUGCGAAGGCGAUCUACUGGAACAUUAUUGACGCUGAGACGCGAAAGCGUGGGGAGCAAACAGGAUUAGAUACCCGAGUAGUC